UACGGAGGAUCCAAGCGUUUAUCCGGAAUCAUUGGGUUUAAAGGGUCCGUAGGCGGUUUGGUAAGUCAGUGGUGAAAGCCCAUCGCUCAACGGUGGAACGGCCAUUGAUACUGCCAGACUUGAAUUAUUAGGAAGUAACUAGAAUAUGUAGUGUAGCGGUGAAAUGCUUAGAGAUUACAUGGAAUACCAGUUGCGAAGGCAGGUUGCUACUAAUGGAUUGACGCUGAUGGACGAAAGCGUGGGUAGCGAACAGG
rnacentral:rRNA from 1 species